rnacentral:misc_RNA from 1 species
UUUUUAGAUCCUGUGAUUUCUGCAUCCUUGAUUAGUGUCACCAUUUCUUUCAAGCUGAACUAGCCAUUGGCCAUUGUGGAAAACCAUAGAUCACAAAUUAGAGGCCAUCCAUUGACUGAUUAUGACUCUUCUUCACCCUGAAACUCUUUAAUGCCUCUGCUAAAGCUAGUGUGGAUUGGUAAAUAUUUGAAAGAUUGAUCAUAUGUCUACACUUCGAUGGAUAAAAUAUAUACUGUUAAAUAUGGUUUGUUUUUAUCUAGGGUUGGUAGGAAACAGAAAAAUAUGACUCAACCAUUUUAAUUUGGUUCGGUCUCUUCCUCUCAUUCAGAUGCUCUCGCCUCCCUCUCCCAACCCUUCCUUGUAAUUAUCGCGGCCUGGCCUCCAUUAAUUCACUAUCACACACACUAGCAUAUCUAUCAGCUCUUGUGCCUCUUUCUCCUUCCUCUCUCCCUGUUGCCUAUCCUAGUGGAAGCGAGAGCUGCAGACCUGUUUAGGAAUCUUUUUAUAGGCGGGAUCGCUCCUUGAGUCCUUGUUCAGGCUCUUGGCAGGUCUUAUCUCUCCUUUCUUUCCCUAACGCAUGUGCACUUCUCACCUCUCUCACUAUCAUUCUGCUGUUCUUCAACUGGGUUACUUUUUUUUCUAAUUUAAUCCAUGUUUCAGAUUUUGAUGGGCUUGGGGAUGAAUUUUAGAGCAAUAGGGAAUCUUGUUGUUUUUAAAUCAAGAAAUUGAUUUAGAAUUGGGUUUCGAGAGUCUUUAUUUUAUUUAUCAGGGAUUCAAAAAGAUGAUUUUUUUGAAUUGCGGUUCUUUGAAUUCUCUUUUGGUUUAUGUUGGCGGUAGUAGAGAAGGCUUCUUUCAUUUCAUUAACAAUUGGAGGUAUAAUCUUCAAAAAAACUCGACCUAUGAUUCUUUGUUGAUUGUUUUUCAGUACCCAGUUCUUUGACCAUCUUUUAAACUUAAAAAAUAAAAAACCAGAAUUUUGGGAUAAGAAAAUUUAUUUGGGUACCAAUUAGUGAUAAUUUGUUUGUUUGAUUGUUGAGAAUUGAUGAAAUAAAGGGUUGGGUUUAUGGAGCUUGAAUUAAGGUUCCAAAUCUCUGUUUCCUCAAGCAACUAGAUAAGAAAGAAACUGUGAUUAAUGCUAGGAUAUCUAGCUUAAGUGAUGGUUAUUGUGAUUGAAAAGCCGAUGGACCGAAUCAAACUGAAUUAUUUGAGUUCAAUUUGGUUAGUCUCUUUAAUUUGGUUCAAUAUCUCACAAAAUAAACUUCGGUUAUUUGUGUUUUUUCUUUC